rnacentral:rRNA from 1 species
UACGUAGGGGGCGAGCGUUGUCCGGAAUCAUUGGGCGUAAAGCGCGUGUAGGCGGCUUGGUAAGUCCGUUCUGAAAGCCCGGGGCUCAACCCCGGGAGGCGGAUGGAUACUGCCAAGCUCGAGUCCGGAAGAGGCAAGUGGAAUUCCCGGUGUAGCGGUGAAAUGCGCAGAUAUCGGGAGGAACACCAAUGGCGAAGGCAGCUUGCUGGGACGGUACUGACGCUGAGACGCGAAAGCGUGGGGAGCAAACAGG